CAUCCCUAGAGCCCAACCUUGCUAUGGAAAGGUCAAACCCUUACCAUUGGCCCUGCCAAGGAUCCCCAGACAGAGAAGCACAAUGGAGGCCAUAAAUUAUGGCUUCUUAUCAUGGCCUCCACAUAACUUAAACUCUGGAUGGUGAAUGAAAUCUGGGGCCAAGUCUUAAAGGGUCAGGGUAGCCAAUGAGCAUAACUCAAUAUUUGUGUUUCUAAGAGAAAACCACAGAACCUCCAUAUCCAUGGCAAACUGGCCAGCCACAGGCUGGAUCCAGUGUGCAGUAGUGUUUUGUGUACACCAUUCACUAUUUGUCUACUUGGGUUAAAAAUGUUUUAUAUUAGUUAGCAAUGUUUAAACAUUGGGAGAAUUAAAGGGAAAUGAAAACGUACUUCCCACAAAUACUUGCACAUAAAUAUUCACAGCAGCAUUGUUUAUAAUUGCCCAAAACUAGAAACAACCCAAAUAUCCAUCAACUGAUGAAUGAUAAACAAGUUGUGGUAUAUUCAUCCAAUAAAACAAUAUUCAGCAAUAAAAAUAAACAAAUCAGGCACUUAAUAUAAUUGAAUAUCAAGGUCAUUAUGUUGAGUGAAAGAGGCCAGAAAAUAAAAGUAUACACUAUUUGAUUCCAUUUAUAUAAUAUUCU
rnacentral:lncRNA from 10 species